GACACCGUGGCCGAGCGGUUAAGGCGAUUGACUAGAAAUCAAUUGGGUUUAUCCCGCGUAGGUUCGAGUCCUGCCGGUGUCG
rnacentral:tRNA from 1 species